rnacentral:rRNA from 1 species
UACGGGGGGGGCAAGCGUUGUUCGGAAUUAUUGGGCGUAAAGAGCUCGUAGGCGGUGUGUCGCGUCGGCCGUGAAAACUUGCAGCUUAACUGUGGGCGUGCGGUCGAUACGGGCAUCACUGGAGUUCGGCAGGGGAGACUGGAAUUCCUGGUGUAGCGGUGAAAUGCGCAGAUAUCAGGAGGAACACCGGUGGCGAAGGCGGGUCUCUGGGCCGAUACUGACGCUGAGGAGCGAAAGCGUGGGGAGCGAACAGG